UCUGUGUAAAGUGAAGGAUAGUGAAAAUUUGGCUUAAACUCAGUGUAAAUUAAUAAAAAAACGCAAUUUCUCAAGUAAAGCCAAACAGGAUAUUUGUAAGGAAGUGGGAGCUCCUGCCACAAUCUCCUGCAGCUGCACUUAAAUAAUCAAACUAUCUGGACCAGUUUCGUGCUACAAGAUUUUCUGGAAAAUCGGGGAAUCUCAGUGCAAGUAGUGCAAGUCUCAUUUGAGCUCCGGAGAGACAGCCCGUGAAGCGAGGUGAUCUCUAAAAUCUGGAAAUCCUCAUCUUGGACUCAUUGAAGAUAUUCAAAUCGAAAAGACUUGAAGCUAGGACUAAAGACUAGUGUUGUCAUCAAAAUGUUUAGAAACCAAGGAGAAUUCGCCAGAGGUAUG